rnacentral:rRNA from 1 species
AUUGAACGCUGGCGGCAUGCUUUACACAUGCAAGUCGAACGGUAACAGGCCGCAAGGUGCUGACGAGUGGCGAACGGGUGAGUAAUGCAUCGGAACGUGCCCAGUCGUGGGGGAUAACGCAGCGAAAGCUGCGCUAAUACCGCAUACGAUCUAGGGAUGAAAGCGGGGGACCGUAAGGCCUCGCGCGAUUGGAGCGGCCAAUGUCAGAUUAGGUAGUUGGUGGGGGAAAGGCUCACCAAGCCAACGAUCUGUAGCUGGUCCGAGAGGACGAGCCGCCAGACUGGGAGUGAGGCACGGCCCAGGCUCCUACGGGGGGCAGGAGUGGGGAAUGUUGGACAAUGGGCGCAAGCCUGAUCCAGCAAUGCCGCGUGCAGGAAGAAGGCCUUCGUGUUGUAAACUGCUUUUGUACGGAACGAAACGGUCCUGGUUAAUACCCGGGGCUAAUGACGGUACCGUAAGAAUAAGCACCGGCUAACUACGUGCCAGCAGCCGCCGUAACAC